UGUUAAAAUUUUCAUCUAUUUGUACUAUUAAAAACUAGUGUGCUUGGCCGAAAAACCAAACAGUGACACGUGGAGUGCCACAUGUACAUUAUAUUGACAUACAAAGACUAAUUUUUAACAUUAAAAAUGGAUGGAAUUUUUAACA
rfam:Gossypium arboreum cultivar AKA8401 contig_66_5, whole genome shotgun sequence.